rnacentral:rRNA from 1 species
GUAGGUGGCAAGCGAUGUCCGGAAUUAUUGGGCGUAAAGCGCGCGCAGGCGGUUCUUUAAGUCUGAUGUGAAAGCCCACGGCUCAACCGUGGAGGGUCAUUGGAAACUGGAGAACUUGAGUACAGAAGAGGAAAGCGGAAUUCCACGUGUAGCGGUGAAAUGCGUAGAGAUGUGGAGGAACACCAGUGGCGAAGGCGGCUUUCUGGUCUGUAACUGACGCUGAGGCGCGAAAGCGUGGGGGAGCAAACAGGAUUAGAUACCCUGGUAGUCCACGCCGUAAACGAUGAGUGCUAAGUGUUAGGGGGUUUCCGCCCCUUAGUGCUGCAGCUAACGCAUUAAGCACUCCGCCUGGGAGUACGGCCGCAAGGCUG